rnacentral:tRNA from 1 species
GCCCCGUUGGCUCAAUUGGAUAGAGCGUAUGACUUCUAAUCAUAAGGUUGUGGGUUCGAGUCCCACCGGAGGCU